rnacentral:rRNA from 1 species
CCCGCGGCAAGACGGAAAGACCCCGUGAACCUUUACUAUAGCUUGACACUGAACAUUGAGCCUUGAUGUGUAGGAUAGGUGGGAGGCUUUGAAGUGUGGACGCCAGUCUGCAUGGAGCCGACCUUGAAAUACCACCCUUUAAUGUUUGAUGUUCUAACGUGGACCCGUAAUCCGGGUUGCGGACAGUGUCUGGUGGGUAGUUUGACUGGGGCGGUCUCCUCCUAAAGAGUAACGGAGGAGCACGAAGGUUGGCUAAUCCUGGUCGGACAUCAGGAGGUUAGUGCAAUGGCAUAAGCCAGCUUGACUGCGAGCGUGACGGCGCGAGCAGGUGCGAAAGCAGGUCAUAGUGAUCCGGUGGUUCUGAAUGGAAGGGCCAUCGCUCAACGGAUAAAAGGUACUCCGGGGAUAACAGGCUGAUACCGCCCAAGAGUUCAUAUCGACGGCGGUGUUUGGCACCUCGAUGUCGGCUCAUCACAUCCUGGGGCUGAAGUAGGUCCCAAGGGUAUGGCUGUUCGCCAUUUAAAGUGGUACGCGAGCUGGGUUUAGAACGUCGUGAGACAGUUCGGUCCCUAUCUGCCGUGGGCGCUGGAGAACUGAGGGGGGCUGCUCCUAGUACGAGAGGACCGGAGUGGACGCAUCACUGGUGUUCGGGUUGUCAUGCCAAUGGCACUGCCCGGUAGCUAAAUGCGGAAGAGAUAAGUGCUGAAAGCAUCUAAGCACGAAACUUGCCCCGAGAUGAGUUCUCCCUGAGACUUAGAGUCUCCUGAAGGAACGUUGAAGACGACGACGUUGAUAGGCCGGGUGUGUAAGCGCAGCGAUGCGUUGAGCUAACCGGUACUAAUGAACCGUGAGGCUUAACCUUACA